GUUCUUGUAGUUGAAUACAACGGUGGUUUUUCAAGUCACAGGUCUUGGUUAAACUCCAAGUUAGAAUC
rnacentral:tRNA from 1 species